UAGCUAGUUGGUGAGGUAAAGGCUUACCAAGGCGACGAUCUGUAGCGGGUCUGAGAGGAUGAUCCGCCACACUGGAACUGAGACACGGUCCAGACUCCUACGGGAGGCAGCAGUGGGGAAUUUUGGACAAUGGGGGCAACCCUGAUCCAGCCAUGCCGCGUGAGUGAAGAAGGCCUUCGGGUUGUAAAGCUCUUUCGGCCGGGAAGGAAUCGCAUGGGCCAAUACCCUGUGUGGAUGACGGUACCGGAAUAAGAAGCACCGGCUAACUACGUGCCAGCAGCCGCGGUAAUACGUAGGGUGCGAGCGUUAAUCGGAAUUACUGGGCGUAAAGCGUGCGCAGGCGGUUUUGUAAGACAGGCGUGAAAUCCCCGGGCUUAACCUGGGAACUGCGUUUGUGACUGCAAGGCUAGAGUACGGCAGAGGGGGGUGGAAUUCCACGUGUAGCAGUGAAAUGCGUAGAGAUGUGGAGGAACACCAAUGGCGAAGGCAGCCCCCUGGGUCGAUACUGACGCUCAUGCACGAAAGCGUGGGUAGCAAACAGGAUUAGAUACCCUGGUAGUCCACGCCCUAAACUAUGUCAACUAGGUGUAGGGUGGGUAAAACCAUUUAGUACCGUAGCUAACGCGUGAAGUUGACCGCCUGGGGAGUACGGCCGCAAGGUUAAAACUCAAAGGAAUUAACGGGGACCCGCACAAGCGGUGGAUGAUGUGGAUUAAUUCGAUGCAACGCGAAAAACCUUACCUACCCUUGACAUGCCAGGAACUUGCCAGAGAUGGCUUGGUGCCCGAAAGGGAGCCUGGACACAGGUGCUGCAUGGCUGUCGUCAGCUCGUGUCGUGAGAUGUUGGGUUAAGUCCCGCAACGAGCGCAACCCUUGUCGUUAAUUGCCAUCAUUUAGUUGGGCACUUUAACGAGACUGCCGGUGACAAACCGGAGGAAGGUGGGGAUGACGUCAAGUCCUCAUGGCCCUUAUGGGUAGGGCUUCACACGUCAUACAAUGGUCGGUACAAAGGGUUGCCAAGCCGCGAGGCGGAGCCAAUCCCAGAAAGCCGAUCGUAGUCCGGAUUGCAGGCUGCAACUCGCCUGCAUGAAGUCGGAAUCGCUAGUAAUCGUGGAUCAGCAUGUCACGGUGAAUACGUUCCCGGGUCUUGUACACACCGCCCGUCACACCAUGGGAGCGGGUUCCGCCAGAAGUAGGUAGCCUAACCGCAAGGGGGGCGCUUACCACGGCGGGGUUCGUGACUGGGGUGAAGUCGUAACAAGGUAGCCGUAGGGGAACCUGCGGCUG
rnacentral:rRNA from 1 species